rnacentral:rRNA from 1 species
UGGGGAAUAUUGGACAAUGGGCGCAAGCCUGAUCCAGCCAUGCCGCGUGUGUGAAGAAGGCCUUUCGGUUGUAAAGCACUUUAAGCGAGGAGGAGGCUACUUGGAUUAAUACUCUAAGAUAGUGGACGUUACUCGCAGAAUAAGCACCGGCUAACUCUGUGCCAGCAGCCGCGGUAAUACAGAGGGUGCGAGCGUUAAUCGGAUUUACUGGGCGUAAAGCGUGCGUAGGCGGCUUCUUAAGUCGGAUGUGAAAUCCCUGAGCUUCACUUAGGAAUUGCAUUCGAUACUGGGAAGCUAGAGUAUGGGAGAGGAUGGUAGAAUUCCAGGUGUAGCGGUGAAGUGCGUAGAGAUCUGGAGGAAUACCGAUGGCGAAGGCAGCCAUCUGGCCUAAUACUGACGCUGAGGUACGAAAGCAUGGGGAGCAAACAGG